AUUGAACGCUGGCGGCAUGCCUUACACAUGCAAGUCGAACGGCAGCACGGGUGCUUGCACCUGGUGGCGAGUGGCGAACGGGUGAGUAGUACAUCGGAACAUGUCCUGUAGUGGGGGAUAGCCCGGCGAAAGCCGGAUUAAUACCGCAUACGAUCCACGGAUGAAAGCGGGGGACCUUCGGGCCUCGCGCUAUAGGGUUGGCCGAUGGCUGAUUAGCUAGUUGGUGGGGUAAAGGCCUACCAAGGCGACGAUCAGUAGCUGGUCUGAGAGGACGACCAGCCACACUGGGACGGGGACACGGCCCAGACUCCUACGGGAGGCAGCGGUGGGGAAUUUUGGACAAUGGGCGAAAGCCUGAUCCAGCAAUGCCGCGUGUGUGAAGAAGGCCUUCGGGUUGUAAAGCACUUUUGUCCGGAAAGAAAUCCUUGACUCUAAUACAGUCGGGGGAUGACGGUACCGGAAGAAUAAGCACCGGCUAACUACGUG
rnacentral:rRNA from 1 species